AUUGAACGCUGGCGGCAGGCCUAACACAUGCAAGUCGAACGAGUGGCGGAAGGGUGAGUAAUGUCUGGGAAACUGCCUGAUGGAGGGGGAUAACUACUGGAAACGGUAGCUAAUACCGCAUACCAUCGGAUGUGCCCAGAUGGGAUUAGCUAGUUGGGGGGGUCACGGCUCACCAAGGCGACGAUGCCGAGCUGGUCUGAGAGGAUGACCAGCCACACUGUAACUGAGACACGGUCCAGACUCCUACGGGAGGCAGCAGUGGGGAAUAUUGGACAAUGGGCGAAAGCCUGAGCCAGCCAUUCCGCGUGUGUGAAGAAGGUCUUCGGAUUGUAAAGCACUUUAAGUUGGGAGGCGUUACCAACAGAAUAAGCACCGGCUAACUUCGUGCCAGCAGCCGCGGUAAUAC
rnacentral:rRNA from 1 species